UGCGGCCUCGGGGCGCAGCAGUGAGGAAUAUUGGUCAAUGGCCGAGAGGCUGAACCAGCCAAGUCGCGUGAGGGAAGACGGCCCUACGGGUUGUAAACCUCUUUUGUCAGGGAGCAAAGCGAGUCACGUGUGACUCAUUGAGAGUACCCGAAGAAAAAGCAUCGGCUAACUCCGUGCCAGCAGCCGCGGUAAUACGGAGGAUGCGAGCGUUAUCCGGAUUUAUUGGGUUUAAAGGGUGCGCAGGCGGAGGUGCAAGUCAGCGGUCAAAUUGCGGGGCUCAACCCCGUACUGCCGUUGAAACUGCA
rnacentral:rRNA from 1 species